UUUGAGUCGCGUGUUCUAGACCCGAAGCGGAGUGAUCUACCCAUGGCCAGGGUGAAGCGACGGUAAGACGUCGUGGAGGCCCGAACCCACUUAGGUUGAAAACUGAGGGGAUGAGCUGUGGGUAGGGGUGAAAGGCCAAUCAAACUCCGUGAUAGCUGGUUCUCCCCGAAAUGCAUUUAGGUGCAGCGUCACGUGUUUCACGCCGGAGGUAGAGCUACUGGAUGGCCUAGGGGGCCCACAAGCUUACCGAAGUCAGCCAAACUCCGAAUGCCGGUGUGUGAGAGCGUGGCAGUGAGACUGCGGGGGAUAAGCUUCGUAGUCGAGAGGGAAACAGCCCAGAUCGCCGGCUAAGGCCCCUAAGCGUGUACUAAGUGGAAAAGGAUGUGGAGUCGCGAAGACAACCAGGAGGUUGGCUUAGAAGCAGCCACCCUUGAAAGAGUGCGUAAUAGCUCACUGGUCAAGUGAUUCUGCGCCGACAAUGUAGCGGGGCUCAAGUACACCGCCGAAGCCGCGGCACUCCAACAUGACAUCCA
rnacentral:rRNA from 1 species